UGUGGGAGCGAGCCUGCUCGCGAUGACGGCGUAUCAGCUUGCAUCCAGGGUGACUGAUCGGACGCUAUCGCGAGCAGGCUCGCUCCCACA
rnacentral:misc_RNA from 1 species